AUGAAGAAGGCUCCAGAGCAGCACAGGAUGACCGCCUCGGUGUUGACUGUUGUGACCGUAGUGGUCACGGUGGUGGCAGUGGUGUUGGCGAAGAGGACGGUGAUAGCGGAUGUGGGGAUGGCCCAGGAGGGGUUUGUGAUGGUGGCAAAGGCGGUGGCGCACAAGUGGUUGGAGGCUUUGGUGGACAGUAUGGCAGCUACCAAGGAAGAGAGGAUGACGGCUGCAGAUGCAGAAAGGACGACGACAGUAGAGGAGAAAUCGUGGGUGACAAGGGUUAUGGAGAUGUGCCUGGAGAUGGUGAUGCAGAAGACAAUCGAAGGGUUGGUGCAGAAAGUGACAGCAGUGCUGGCGGAGAUGACAGUGGAGCAGAUAACUGUGGCAUCGGCAGUGCUGCCGGUGGUGGCAGCGGUGGUGGCCAUGGCACUAAGGUCACAGCCCUUCCCGGGUCACUUGGAACUGCCUUCGCAGCCCACAUGCGGAGCCCCACUGGCGUCAGGAGGAGCUGCUCCUACAAAAGCCAGAGGCGUGUAUGGGUUCAUCAAGGAACCCGUCCAAGAAGAAGCCAUCAUGAUGGUGCUCUGCUCCAUCGCUGAGGAGAGGAAGAAGAGAGCUAAAAAGAAGGGCGCAAGGUUUUGGGCUUUCUUUGUAGGUCUGUUCAGAGCCCAAUCCAAAGAAACUGUUGGUAAUAAGAGCCUGGUGCAAAACUCGGAAGACUCCAGAGAGGACCGAUGGAAAGGCGAGGCUUACCCCAGCAUGCAGGCCUACCCCAGCCCCCUCCCCAGGGGCAGCCACUGUGCCCCGGUCUUGGGUAUUCCCUUACUCCCCUUGAAAUGGUCUUUGGAAACCAUUCAUUUCCUUGCGUUUGUGUUUAUUGAUGAAAGCUUAGAAAAAUCCAGAAAAGAAUCAGGAGACCACUAUCAGUGUUACCACCCAGAAAAUCAUCCUUAA
rnacentral:lncRNA from 1 species